UGCAAGUGAUGUCUUUCUCACGAUGGUCUUCCAAGCCUUCAGGGUUCUGACGAAAAUGCCUUCUUUGGCGUUACUGAUGCAGUCCA
rnacentral:snoRNA from 1 species